AGCGUACACGGUGGAUGCCCUGGCAGUCAGAGGCGAUGAAGGACGUGCUAAUCUGCGAUAAGCGUCGGUAAGGUGAUAUGAACCGUUAUAACCGGCGAUUUCCGAAUGGGGAAACCCAGUGUGAUUCGUCACACUAUCAUUAACUGAAUCCAUAGGUUAAUGAGGCGAACCGGGGGAACUGAAACAUCUAAGUACCCCGAGGAAAAGAAAUCAACCGAGAUUCCCCCAGUAGCGGCGAGCGAACGGGGAGCAGCCCAGAGCCUGAAUCAGUGUGUGUGUUAGUGGAAGCGUCUGGAAAGGCGUGCGAUACAGGGUGACAGCCCCGUACACAAAAAUGCACAUGCUGUGAGCUCGAUGAGUAGGGCGGGACACGUGGUAUCCUGUCUGAAUAUGGGGGGACCAUCCUCCAAGGCUAAAUACUCCUGACUGACCGAUAGUGAACCAGUACCGUGAGGGAAAGGCGAAAAGAACCCCGGCGAGGGGAGUGAAAAAGAACCUGAAACCGUGUACGUACAAGCAGUGGGAGCACGCUUAGGCGUGUGACUGCGUACCUUUUGUAUAAUGGGUCAGCGACUUAUAUUCUGUAGCAAGGUUAACCGAAUAGGGGAGCCGAAGGGAAACCGAGUCUUAACUGGGCGUUAAGUUGCAGGGUAUAGACCCGAAACCCGGUGAUCUAGCCAUGGGCAGGUUGAAGGUUGGGUAACACUAACUGGAGGACCGAACCGACUAAUGUUGAAAAAUUAGCGGAUGACUUGUGGCUGGGGGUGAAAGGCCAAUCAAACCGGGAGAUAGCUGGUUCUCCCCGAAAGCUAUUUAGGUAGCGCCUCGUGAAUUCAUCUCCGGGGGUAGAGCACUGUUUCGGCAAGGGGGUCAUCCCGACUUACCAACCCGAUGCAAACUGCGAAUACCGGAGAAUGUUAUCACGGGAGACACACGGCGGGUGCUAACGUCCGUCGUGAAGAGGGAAACAACCCAGACCGCCAGCUAAGGUCCCAAAGUCAUGGUUAAGUGGGAAACGAUGUGGGAAGGCCCAGACAGCCAGGAUGUUGGCUUAGAAGCAGCCAUCAUUUAAAGAAAGCGUAAUAGCUCACUGGUCGAGUCGGCCUGCGCGGAAGAUGUAACGGGGCUAAACCAUGCACCGAAGCUGCGGCAGCGACGCUUAUGCGUUGUUGGGUAGGGGAGCGUUCUGUAAGCCUGCGAAGGUGUGCUGUGAGGCAUGCUGGAGGUAUCAGAAGUGCGAAUGCUGACAUAAGUAACGAUAAAGCGGGUGAAAAGCCCGCUCGCCGGAAGACCAAGGGUUCCUGUCCAACGUUAAUCGGGGCAGGGUGAGUCGACCCCUAAGGCGAGGCCGAAAGGCGUAGUCGAUGGGAAACAGGUUAAUAUUCCUGUACUUGGUGUUACUGCGAAGGGGGGACGGAGAAGGCUAUGUUGGCCGGGCGACGGUUGUCCCGGUUUAAGCGUGUAGGCUGGUUUUCCAGGCAAAUCCGGAAAAUCAAGGCUGAGGCGUGAUGACGAGGCACUACGGUGCUGAAGCAACAAAUGCCCUGCUUCCAGGAAAAGCCUCUAAGCAUCAGGUAACAUCAAAUCGUACCCCAAACCGACACAGGUGGUCAGGUAGAGAAUACCAAGGCGCUUGAGAGAACUCGGGUGAAGGAACUAGGCAAAAUGGUGCCGUAACUUCGGGAGAAGGCACGCUGAUAUGUAGGUGAAGUCCCUCGCGGAUGGAGCUGAAAUCAGUCGAAGAUACCAGCUGGCUGCAACUGUUUAUUAAAAACACAGCACUGUGCAAACACGAAAGUGGACGUAUACGGUGUGACGCCUGCCCGGUGCCGGAAGGUUAAUUGAUGGGGUUAGCGCAAGCGAAGCUCUUGAUCGAAGCCCCGGUAAACGGCGGCCGUAACUAUAACGGUCCUAAGGUAGCGAAAUUCCUUGUCGGGUAAGUUCCGACCUGCACGAAUGGCGUAAUGAUGGCCAGGCUGUCUCCACCCGAGACUCAGUGAAAUUGAACUCGCUGUGAAGAUGCAGUGUACCCGCGGCAAGACGGAAAGACCCCGUGAACCUUUACUAUAGCUUGACACUGAACAUUGAGCCUUGAUGUGUAGGAUAGGUGGGAGGCUUUGAAGUGUGGACGCCAGUCUGCAUGGAGCCGACCUUGAAAUACCACCCUUUAAUGUUUGAUGUUCUAACGUUGACCCGUAAUCCGGGUUGCGGACAGUGUCUGGUGGGUAGUUUGACUGGGGCGGUCUCCUCCUAAAGAGUAACGGAGGAGCACGAAGGUUGGCUAAUCCUGGUCGGACAUCAGGAGGUUAGUGCAAUGGCAUAAGCCAGCUUGACUGCGAGCGUGACGGCGCGAGCAGGUGCGAAAGCAGGUCAUAGUGAUCCGGUGGUUCUGAAUGGAAGGGCCAUCGCUCAACGGAUAAAAGGUACUCCGGGGAUAACAGGCUGAUACCGCCCAAGAGUUCAUAUCGACGGCGGUGUUUGGCACCUCGAUGUCGGCUCAUCACAUCCUGGGGCUGAAGUAGGUCCCAAGGGUAUGGCUGUUCGCCAUUUAAAGUGGUACGCGAGCUGGGUUUAGAACGUCGUGAGACAGUUCGGUCCCUAUCUGCCGUGGGCGCUGGAGAACUGAGGGGGGCUGCUCCUAGUACGAGAGGACCGGAGUGGACGCAUCACUGGUGUUCGGGUUGUCAUGCCAAUGGCACUGCCCGGUAGCUAAAUGCGGAAGAGAUAAGUGCUGAAAGCAUCUAAGCACGAAACUUGCCCCGAGAUGAGUUCUCCCUGACUCCUUGA
rnacentral:rRNA from 1 species